UACGUAGGGGGCGAGCGUUGUCCGGAAUUAUUGGGCGUAAAGCGCGCGCAGGCGGCCGUUUAAGUCUGGUGUUUAAUCCUGGGGCUCAACCCCGGGUCGCACUGGAAACUGGACAGCUUGAGUGCAGAAGAGGAGAGUGGAAUUCCACGUGUAGCGGUGAAAUGCGUAGAGAUGUGGAGGAACACCAGUGGCGAAGGCGACUCUCUGGGCUGUAACUGACGCUGAGGCGCGAAAGCGUGGGGAGCAAACAGG
rnacentral:rRNA from 1 species